rnacentral:rRNA from 1 species
GACGAACGCUGGCGGCGCGCUUAACACAUGCAAGUCGAACGGAAAGGCCUGCUUUCCCUUGUGGAUUGCGGGUACUCGAGUGGCGAACGGGUGAGUAACACGUGAGUGAUCUGCCCCCAACUUGGGUAUAAGCCUGGGAAACUGGGUCUAAUUCCCGAUAGGACUGCAGGGUGGUGCCUGUGGUGGAAAACGAUUUUCUAGUGGUUGGGGAUGAGCUCGCGGCCUAUCAGCUUGUUGGUGGGGUAAUGGCCUACCAAGGCGGCGACGGGUAGCCAGCCUGAGAGGGUGGACGGCCACAUUGGGACUGGGAUACGGCCCAGACUCCUACGGGAGGCAGCAGUGGGGAAUAUUGCACAAUGGGCGGAAGCCUGAUGCAGCGACGCCGCGUGGGGGAUGACGGCCUUCGGGUUGUAAACUCCUUUCGACCGCGAGGAAGCCACCUGGUUGGAAGGGUGGUGACGGUAGUGGUAGAAGAAGCACCGGCUAACUACGUG